UACGAGGGGGGCGAGCGUUGUUCGGAAUUAUUGGGCGUAAAGGGCGCGUAGGCGGUGCGGCAAGUCAGAUGUGAAACCUCCAGGCUUAACCUGGAGCUGGCAUCUGAAACUGCCGUGCUAGAGUGUGGGAGAGGAGAGUGGAAUUCCUGGUGUAGCGGUGAAAUGCGUAGAUAUCAGGAGGAACACCGGUGGCGAAGGCGGCUCUCUGGACCACAACUGACGCUGAGGCGCGAAAGCUAGGGGAGCAAACAGG
rnacentral:rRNA from 1 species